rnacentral:rRNA from 1 species
GACGGAAGGUGCAAGCGUUGCUCGGAAUCACUGGGCGUAAAGGGUGCGUAGGUGGUGGGGUAAGUCGGAUGUGAAAGCUCGGAGCUCAACUCCGAAAUGGCAUUGGAAACUACCCUGCUAGAGGAUUGGAGGGGGGACUGGAAUACUUGGUGUAGCAGUGAAAUGCGUAGAUAUCAAGUGGAACACCAGUGGCGAAGGCGAGUCCCUGGACAAUUCCUGACACUGAGGCACGAAAGCUAGGGGAGCAAACAGG